rnacentral:lncRNA from 1 species
GUUCUGACACACCACUACUGUUAAAUAGGCAGAGCUAAGACUUAGGGGACUGGCAGAUUAUUGCAAAAAGGGCACGGGGCAGAAGGACUAUGUUGUGAGCCUGCGAAAGAAGUUUGUGUGGGGACUGUGGGCAGUGAACGCGUUGGGAACAAUAUGGAAAACUGGGAGCUGCCUUGGAAUCUACAGGGCCGGGCUGAAGAAAAGAAGAAUGGUAUUCACGCAGUUCCCAUUUUACAGAUGAAAACAAGAGGACUUUUUCUGUGAAGUCAAGAAAGUGGUUACAAUGGUACUUUCAGCCUGUCCGAAUUAUGUAUUGCCCCUCCCCUUUUUAUUAAUAACAUUGAAGUGUGAUGGGAAAACCACUGAAGCCGUCAGUUGAAACCUGCUGGGACUUUUUAGCCAUUCUCUUCAACAUAAAGAAUGGGUGUUUUUGGAGGGGGUGAGAGGAAUGGGGAAAUGUUGUCAAAGAGUACAGUGUUUUAGUUGAGACAGGAAGAAUAUAUUUUGUUGAGAUCUACAGCACAGCAUGGUGACUGUAGUUAACAAUGAAGUAUUGUGUAUUUCAAAAUUGCUAAGACAAUAAAUUUCAAAUGUUCUCACCACAAAAAAGAUAGGUUUUGAGGUGAUGAAUCUAUUAA